GCCCACCGAACUUUGCAGUGCCAUUUGCUGUGAUGGGCGCCGAGAUAAAUUCGAGCAAUGUGUAGGCUAAUCUGGAUUUGUGUUUUAUUUUUGCCAUUCAUUGCGAGAGCUAACUGUGGAGUGGCAAAAGAUCAACAUAUAAUUGUUGAUAAUGAUGUUAAAAAUAUAUCAGUGGGUGUACAUCCAUUUGGGAGUGUUUCCAUUUCGUGGUCCAUUGGAAAGCAAGUGUACGAACGCAUUGUGUUGGCAAUUGCCAAUGCGUCUAACCCUUUGGCAAAAUUGAGAAAUGGCAAGUUGAAUUGUUACAAACAGAGCACCUUCACAGAAGAGGAAUGUAAGAGUCAUUUCUCAUUAUUUAGGAAUGCAUCUGUUGAUGUCAUUUUUAGAAUGAGAAAUGUCUCGGACCUGUAUUUUGGAACUUACCUAUUAUCUAUGUAUGGCGGAAUAGACCCUGAAAUAAAGACUUUAUGGAUUAAAGUCUAUAACAAAGCAGGACUAACACCAACACCAAUGUCAACACCAACGUCAAUGCCUAUGUCAAUGCCAACGUCAAUGCAAACACACAAAAAUGAUGCGACAGCUGGAACAAGUCACUUGGCUGUCAUAAUUGUUGUACCCAUCCUAACAGUAAUUGUGGUUGGCAUCUUAGCACUUAUUGCAGUUUGGCGUUGGAAAAAGCGUUCCAAAAGAAUUGCACGUAUUGAGGCAGGUGGCGAUGAGUCCAAAGAAGAGAAGAAUCUCGAGAUGUCUGAACUGGCUUACUUUACUAUUGGGUGUCAUCAACUGGUGAUUCAUGGAAGCUGUCUUCGUAAAAAUUUUGGAAGAGCUCUUAAGUCUCCCGAGGAAUAAAUAGCAGUAAUAUAUAGCAAUAGAAUGGCACAACAGCAAGUGAGAAUUCAAAUGUCACUGAUAGUAACCUGACUUGUGUUUCAGAGUCGUCAACAGCGAAAUCUGAAGGGGAUACAAUUCAACUCAUUUUUGGCAAGUCUUCAAUGGAAUCUGAUGUCAGCUUUCGAGGCUAUCGCCUCUCCUUGGUGUUGGGACUCCAGUGAAAUAAACUAGCACAAGGUAGUAGGAACCUUAACGUUUAAUAGGACGAAGAACUUUCAGUGCAAGCGAAUCCUAGCAUGAGGUAAGACUAACUUGAUUGGCUAACUCGAGUCACAUGACAACAAGCGUUUGUGUGACAAUAACGUUACACUUGGAUGGACAGAUUUUUGCACAUCAGAUGAAAGGUACUUCAUGUUUCACCUGGGGCUCAAACUUAGAGCCAUGUCUAAACAGACUUUCUGAUAAGAUGAUGUUUGAUUGUAACAUCACCCAUCUCAGAGUUGAGAUAGAAAAUGCUUCACUCCAGGACAGUGGAAAUUACACCUUUACUCGUGUCUUUGACGGUGUGACAUGUAAUUUCCUGGAUACCAAAAAGGUUACUGUUACAGUAAAAAGUUGGUAUCAAAAUGUAAUGCUAAGUAUUACUAACAGCUAUGAUUUGAUGAAGGUUUACAAAUAUAGUACAGGCUGUACAAAGAAAAUUUUAUUAGUAAGAGUACAUUUACAUAAUUGAACAAUGUCUCUUUCCAGAAGUUAAGUGGUGAUUGAUAUAAAUUUAUGUGCAUGAAUGGACUCUUAAAAUAGGUGAAUACAAAAGUUAUGUCACUCUAGAACUGUUCUUUCCUUGCUGUUCAAAUGAAACUAAAGGUGAAAAAUGUCUAUUAUUAUAAUGGCAAGGUCGUCCUGAGGUAAAUCAUAUCAUUGGGGAAUAUUGGCCCUCAGCUGUUUUGUGCUGCCAAAAAGACCUUGGGCCAAUAGUCCGCCAUGUGGCUCUCACAAUUGGUUGUAGUUAUUGUUGUAAUAACUUCUUACUAACUAAGUGUGACCUGGCUGUCUUGUGGAAUAUUUACCAUAUAUAAGGUCCGUAGUUACAUAAACAACCAAGAGCCUAUAUUCCUUAGCACAGCUUAAGGAAGUGAAGAUAUUAAGUAUAGUAACUUUAUGAUACAGCACUCAGGCAGAAUUUGUUUAUUUUGAAUUUGCUUCCUUUCUCUACCAAAAUUACAUAGCUUAAUUAUGACUGCAUGUUUCUGUGGAAAUGGUCCAUAUAACAAAAUAUAGAUAGACCAUACAAGUAAGAACCAAUCAGAAUGCUAGGAUUAUCAAACCCGAGGACUUACCGUAAUCCUGCCAUUUGAUAAGUAGUUUCUAUCAUAAUUUAUUACUUUCAAAAACCAUUAUAGUAAAAAGCUGAUAUGUGCAGGGCCAGAUGGGUUGACGUGUGCUGGUGUCCUGGCCGCAGAUUUAGGCUCCCCUAGUCCAACUCCGCUGGCAGAUAUGGACCCCCAGGUCCAAAUCUGCUGGGGGAUAUGGACCCCACCUUCCCCCCUCCCCAUUCAAAUCAGCAAGUGGAUUUAGACCCACUCCACAGAUUUGAACCACUAACAAAGCUGAAUGGAAAUAUCAUCCUUUACAUGUCUGAUAAAAAGUAGUGAGGGUUAAGGUCUAUGGUUUAGGGCUUAGGGCUAGGUGUUAGGGUUAGAGUUUAGGAUUAGGGUUAUGAUGGAGCGGUUAGGGUUAGGGUUUAUUGCUAGGGUUAAGUUUGGGGAUGUUUAAGGCUAGGGAGGUCUGGAGGAGGUUCAAAUGUGCAGUGACACCUGUCCAGUGGAAUCCAUCCCACCCUGCUGUCCUCCCUUCCGUUUGUUUCAAAAAUUUAAAAGAAAACAGAAAGGAGGAAGAAAAACUUGCAUUUUUAAGAAUUUGGGAGUAUCUUCUUCUGACUUGAAAAGAUAAAGGAAAAUAUUUGAUUCCAGAAUUUUUUUGUACAAAUGAUUAGGGGCAGAAUGUUUGAUGAACAAGAAGAUAAAUGAAUAGCGAUUCAGUCCUUUUGUGCAUAUGGCUGAUCCCUUUGUUUUUAUUCAGCUUCGUUUUUGUUGUCAGUUAUAUGUGUAAUUUAAAGAGGAGAGCUAAAGAGAAAAACCUGUUCCACCCUGAUGCUAGCUCUCUAAUCAGUAAUCUGCCUCUAGAGAAGUUUGUGAUUAAUUUUUUCUUUCUUUUUCACCUCUGCUUCUUUCCUUGAAAAUCUCGAUAACAGAGUGCAGUCAUAAUUGUCACAUGGGAACAUGGAAAAAGGUUGAGCGUCAGGAAGCAAUACUGCUGCCCUAAAUUUGGUCACUUUGGAUUACAUGCAUAUCAUAAGUAACAAAAUCUUAAUUUUUCCAUGGAUAUUCAGUUUUUGAUCAUUUGUUUGAUUUUAUUGCAGUUAAUUGUGCCUUCUUCAGUGGUAUUGAGGACUAUACAAGCAAGUGCCCAAAGAACUUUUACGUCACCACCAAUUUCAAUUACACCAAUUUUCAUGAGCCUUAAGAUGUCUCGAAGAUUUUACAACACUAUCAGCCCCUCAAACACAGUUCCGUCUGCUGUAAAUAUUGCAUCUGCAAGUGAUUAAAAUCCUGUUUGGCCACCAACUACAG